GGGAGCGACGCCGCGUGUAGGAUGAAGCCCUUCGGGGUGUAAACUACUUUUAUCAAGGACGAACUAAUGACGGUACUUGAUGAAUAAGGGGCUGCCAACUUCGUGCCAGCAGCAGCGGUAAUACGAAGGCCCCAAGCGUUAUCCGGAAUUACUGGGCGUAAAGCGUCUGUAGGCGGUUAGGUAAGUUAACGGUUAAAUCCUGGAGCUCAACUCCAGAACAGCCGCUAAUACUAUCUGACUAGAGGAUGGGAGAGGUCAACGGAAUUGCCGGUGUAGUAGUAAAAUGCAUUGAUAUCGGCAGGAACACCAAAAGCGAAGGCAGAUGACUGGAACAUUCCUGACGCUGAGAGACGAAAGCGUGGGUAGCGAAAGGGAUUAGAUACCCCUGUAGUCCACGCCGUAAACGAUGGAUGCUAGGUGCUGGAAGUUUCGACCCUUUCAGUGCCGGGUAGUCAAGCUAACGCCUUAAGCAUCCCGCCUGGGAAGUACGGCCGCAAGGCUAAAACUCAAAGGAAUUGACGGGGACCCGCACAAGCGGUGGAGCAUGUGGUUUAAUUCGACGAUAAGCGGAGAACCUCACCAAGGUUUGACAUCUCUGGAAGUUUUUAGAAAUAAAAAUGUGCCUUCGGGAACCAGAUGACAGGUGCUGCAUGGUUGCCGUCAGCUCGUGUCGUGAGAUGUACGGUUAAGUCCGGCAACGAGCGCAACCCUCGUCCUAUGUUAUAUUUUUCAUAGGAGACUGCCAGCUUUAAGCUGGAGGAAGGUGGGGACGACGUCAAAUCAGCAUGGCCCUUAUACCUUGGGCUACACACGUGCUACAAUGGGUAAGACAACGGGCAGCUAAGCCGCAAGGUGUAGCGAAUCCCUUAAACUUAUCCUCAGUUCGGAUUGAGGUCUGCAACUCGACCUCAUGAAGUUGGAAUCGC
rnacentral:rRNA from 1 species